UGAGGAAUUUUGCGCAAUGGGGGAAACCCUGACGCAGCAACGCCGCGUGAGUGAAGAAGGCCCUUGGGUCGUAAAGCUCUGUCAAGUGGAAAGAAAAUGUUUAUUACGAAUGGUGAUAAGCAUUGACGGUACCGCUAAAGGAAGCACCGGCUAACUCCGUGCCAGCAGCCGCGGUAAUACGGGGGGUGCUAGCGUUAAUCGGAUUUAUUGGGCGUAAAGCGCGCGUAGGCGGCUUCAUAAGUCAGAUGUGAAAGCCCGGGGCUCAACCUCGGAAGUACAUUUGAAACUGUGGAGCUUGAGUAUGGGAGAGGGAAGUGGAAUUCCUGGUGUAGCGGUGAAAUGCGUAGAUAUCAGGAGGAACACCGGUGGCGAAGGCGACUUCCUGGACCAAUACUGACGC
rnacentral:rRNA from 1 species